GACGAACGCUGGCGGCGUGCUUAACACAUGCAAGUCGAACGCUGAAGCUCAGCUUUUGUUGGGUGGAUGAGUGGCGAACGGGUGAGUAACACGUGAGUAACCUGCCCCCUUCUUUGGGAUAACGCCCGGAAACGGGUGCUAAUACUGGAUAUUCACUGGUCUUCGCAUGGGGGUUGGUGGAAAGGGUUUUUCUGGUGGGGGAUGGGCUCGCGGCCUAUCAGCUUGUUGGUGGGGUGAUGGCCUACCAAGGCUUUGACGGGUAGCCGGCCUGAGAGGGUGACCGGUCACAUUGGGACUGAGAUACGGCCCAGACUCCUACGGGAGGCAGCAGUGGGGAAUAUUGCACAAUGGGCGCAAGCCUGAUGCAGCGACGCCGCGUGAGGGAUGGAGGCCUUCGGGUUGUGAACCUCUUUCGCUCAUGGUCAAGCCGCAACAAUGGUUGUGGUGAGGGUAGUGGGUAAAGAAGCGCCGGCUAACUACGUGCCAGCAGCCGCGGUAAUACGUAGGGCGCGAGCGUUGUCCGGAAUUAUUGGGCGUAAAGGGCUUGUAGGCGGUUGGUCGCGUCUGCCGUGAAAUCCUCUGGCUUAACUGGGGGCGUGCGGUGGGGUACGGGCUGACUUGAGUGCGGUAGGGGAGACUGGAACUCCUGGUGUAGCGGUGGAAUGCGCAGAUAUCAGGAAGAACACCGGUGGGAAGGCUGGUCUCUGUGUCCGUUACUGACGCUGAGGAGCGAAAGCGUGGGGAGCGAACAAG
rnacentral:rRNA from 1 species